UACGAAGGGGGCUAGCGUUGCUCGGAAUUACUGGGCGUAAAGCGCUCGCAGGUGGUCCGCUGCGUCGUGCGUGAAAGACCCCGGCUCAACUGGGGAGUGUCGUGCGAUACGGGCGGACUGGAGGCCAGUAGGGGGAUGCGGAAUUCCGGGUGGUAGUGGUGGAAUGCGUAGAGAUCCGGAGGAACACCAGCGGCGAAGGCGGCAUCCUGGACUGGUCCUGACACUCAUGAGCGAAAGCGUGGGGAGCGAGCCGG
rnacentral:rRNA from 1 species